GUUAGAGAUCAAAUGUCUCUUUGGCCCAUUUAGUGAUUGUCUGUACAAUCCUCAGCGUGUUUACUGGAAGCUGGAUAAUAUGGAAACAUCGGCAAGAAUGCGGAAAUGUUUGAGAAGGAACUAUGGAGGGUCAGAUCAUUUUGGUUCUGCUGCAGAUUAUGCUGAUCAUACCGGAUUAAAAGAGGGGGAAGAUCAAACAAUCAGUCCAUCAAAAGCCUCUCUUUUGGCAGCAGAAGCUAUUUCCAUUGAGCCAGAACACGAGGAUUAUGAACAGGAAGAUGGUUCCAACUUGGAUAGUAAGUUAGAUGACACAGAACAUCAUGGUGACAUUCAGAGUAGAAUGUCUGGAACUACUGAGC
rnacentral:misc_RNA from 1 species